GUGUCAGCCGCCGCGGUAAUACGUAGGUGGCAAGCGUUGUCCGGAUUUAUUGGGCGUAAAGCGAGCGCAGGCGGUUUCUUAGGUCUGAUGUGAAAGCCUUCGGCUUAACCGGAGAAGUGCAUCGGAAACCAGGAGACUUGAGUGCAGAAGAGGACAGUGGAACUCCAUGUGUAGCGGUGAAAUGCGUAGAUAUAUGGAAGAACACCAGUGGCGAAGGCGGCUGUCUGGUCUGUAACUGACGCUGAGGCUCGAAAGCAUGGGUAGCGAACAGGAUUAGAUACCCUGGUAGUCCAUGCCGUAAACGAUGAGUGCUAAGUGUUGGAGGGUUUCCGCCCUUCAGUGCUGCAGCUAACGCAUUAAGCACUCCGCCUGGGGAGUACGACCGCAAGGUUGAAACUUAAAUGAAUUGACGG
rnacentral:rRNA from 1 species